rnacentral:sRNA from 1 species
UCUGGAGUCGCUAGUAUUAUGUCUUCAUUAAAUUUUAUUACUACAG